AAAGUCCUUCGGGAUGAGUAAGUGGCGCACGGGUGAGUGAUGCGUAGAUAAUCUGCCUGGUGAUCUGGGAUAACAUCUCGAAAGGGGUGCUAAUACCGGAUAAGCCCACGGAGUCUUCGGACUUUGCGGGAAAAGGGGGGGACCUUCGGGCCUUCUGUCACCAGAUGAGUCUACGUACCAUUAGCUAGUUGGUGGGGUAAGAGCCCACCAAGGCUACGAUGGUUAGCUGGUCUGAGAGGAUGAUCAGCCACACUGGAACUGAGACACGGUCCAGACUCCUACGGGAGGCAGCAGUGGGGAAUUUUGCGCAAUGGGGGAAACCCUGACGCAGCAACGCCGCGUGAGUGAUGAAGGCCUUCGGGUCGUAAAGCUCUGUCAGAGGGAAAGAAAUGUGGGUGGCUAAUAUCCAUUCCGCUUGACGGUACCCUCAAAGGAAGCACCGGCUAACUCCGUGCCAGCAGCCGCGGUAAUACGGAGGGUGCGAGCGUUGUUCGGAAUUAUUGGGCGUAAAGCGCGUGUAGGCGGUUUUAUAAGUCUGAUGUGAAAGCCCCGGGCUCAACCUGGGAAGUGCAUUGGAAACUGUAAGACUUGAGUACGGGAGAGGGCAGUGGAAUUCCUAGUGUAGGAGUGAAAUCCGUAGAUAUUAGGAGGAACACCGGUGGCGAAGGCGGCUGCCUGGACCGAUACUGACGCUGAGACGCGAAAGCGUGGGGAGCAAACAGGAUUAGAUACCCUGGUAGUCCACGCCGUAAACGAUGAGUACUAGGUGUUGCGGGUAUUGACCCCUGCAGUGCCGCAGCUAACGCAUUAAG
rnacentral:rRNA from 1 species